rnacentral:rRNA from 1 species
UACGGGGGGUGCGAGCGUUGUCCGGAAUCACUGGGCGUAAAGGGCGCGUAGGUGGUUUGAUAAGGGUGUGGUGAAAGUCCGGAGCUCAACUCCGGAUCUGCCGUGCCGACUGUCAAACUCGAGGGCUGUAGAGGCAGACGGAAUUCCGGGUGUAGCGGUGGAAUGCGUAGAGAUCCGGAGGAGGACCGGUGGCGAAGGCGGCGUUCUGGACUGCAACUGACACUGAGAAACGAAAGCCAGGGUAGCAAACGGG